GGAUUCGCUAGUAAUCGCGCAUCAGCCAUGGCGCGGUGAAUACGUUCCCGGGCCUUGUACACACCGCCCGUCAAGCCAUGGAAGCCGGGAGUGCCUGAAGUGUGCAACCGCAAGGAGCGCCCUAAGGUAAAACUGGUGACUGGGGCUAAGUCGUAACAAGGUAAC
rnacentral:rRNA from 1 species